rnacentral:rRNA from 1 species
AUUGAACGCUGGCGGCAGGCCUAACACAUGCAAGUCGAACGAGUGGCGGACGGGUGAGUAAUGCAUGGGAAUCUAGCUGAUGGAGGGGGAUCACUACGGGAAACUGUAGCUAAUACCGCGUACCAUAGGAUGAGCCCAGGUGGGAUUAGGUAGUUGGUGGGGUAAAGGCUCACCAAGGCGACGAUCUCUAGCUGGUCUGAGAGGAUGAUCAGCCACACUGGAACUGAGACACGGCCCAGACUCCUACGGGAGGCAGCAGUGGGGAAUAUUCGGCAAUGGGCGAAAGCCUGACCCAGCAACGCCGCGUGUGUGAAGAAGGUUUUCGGAUCGUAAAGCACUGUUAGUAGGGAAGCGGUAUCUAAACAAAAAGCAACGGCUAACUACGUGCCAGCAGCCGCGGUAAUUC